rnacentral:tRNA from 1 species
GGGGCUAUAGCUCAGAUGGGAGAGCGCCUGGAUCGCACCCAGGAGGUCGGGGGUUCGAGUCCCCCUAGCUCCACCA